UAACUGGAACACACCAUUACUCGUGGAUUGUCACUGCUGAUUACGCCACACCUGUUGUUCAUUUUCAGCAUCUCUGCUGCUUUUGUUGUAAAUUUCCAAGCUUAACCUCAUUUCUUUUAAAAAAAAAGAGAUAUUUAUUAUUACUUUUAUCGCAGCACAUUUCUCGGGAAGAAAUAUCAAGUGAGUUAGCUGCACUACUACCUUACCUCAAAAGCGCUUGUUGGGUCGGUGGUGAAGCCGCUUCUUGUUUCCGGAGCUCCCAGAGAAGGAUGGACGUCAGCGGGCGGUAAGAGCACCCUCCAGACACUGAGGAAAGGGCACAAGACGUAAAGAAAGAAGCCUGUCGCUGAUAAAGAAGAGAGGAUAACUUAACGCAUCCGAAAAGGGACACUGCGGUGAUGGCUGAAGCACCUCAGCAGCAGCAGCAGCAGCAGGAGGAGGAGGAGGAAGAGGAGCAGCAGCUGCCAAGCUCUGUGGAGACCAGUGAAUCUGAUGAAGGCUCCGAGGAACCAAAUGAAGUCGUCAGAAAGGCUCGACCACUUCUGUCCAUGAGGUCCAUGAGCACCAUAGACCCAGAUGAUGACUACCCCAAUAUGAUCGUUUUCAGAAAGGUAGGAGCGAAGAAAACAUUUUAAAACUUUAUAAGUUGUUAGGAUCUGCAGAAGACGAUGGGUCCAUAUUUGAAGUAAAAAUAUGCUGCAAAAAAAUCACCAGAAUAUAGGCAAAAGUUGUCAUAGUGGCAACAUUACAUACAGAACACUAAACUUUGGUAUAUAUUUCUAUUUCUAUCAAAACAAAUGUUAGAUGACAAAAUCUGUGACUCAUAUGAGUUAAAGACAAAAGUUUACAUGAGUUCAUUCAAUGAGGAAGAAGUAGUUGUGGAGCUUGUUGUCUUUUGGAGAACUGACAAGAUAUUUAAAAAGCACAAUAUGCCAUGAUCUAGCCUGCUUGUAAUUCCCAACAGCUCACUUGGUUGCUAGGUAACGUGGCAUGGCAGGUGUUGCUAGGUAACGGCGCAGU